rnacentral:rRNA from 1 species
AUUGAACGCUGGCGGCAUGCCUUACACAUGCAAGUCGAACGGUAACGCGGGGCAACCUGGCGACGAGUGGCGAACGGGUGAGUAAUACAUCGGAACGUGCCCAGUAGUGGGGGAUAGCCCGGCGAAAGCCGGAUUAAUACCGCAUACGACCUACGGGUGAAAGCAGGGGAUCGCAAGACCUUGCGCUAUUGGAGCGGCCGAUGUCAGAUUAGGUUGUUGGUGGGGUAAAAGCCUACCAAGCCGACGAUCUGUAGCUGGUCUGAGAGGACGACCAGCCACACUGGGACUGAGACACGGCCCAGACUCCUACGGGAGGCAGCAGUGGGGAAUUUUGGACAAUGGGCGCAAGCCUGAUCCAGCCAUGCCGCGUGCGGGAAGAAGGCCCUUCGGGUUGUAAACCGGCUUUUAUGAGUGAGAAUAUGACGGUAACU